AGUGAACGCUGGCGGCAGGCCUAACACAUGCAAGUCGAGCGGCAGCGCGUCCGACCACCCUCGGGUGGUCGGAUGGCGGCGAGCGGCGGACGGGUGAGGAAUGCAUCGGAAUCUGCCUCGUUGUGGGGGAUAACGUAGGGAAACUUACGCUAAUACCGCAUACGACCUACGGGUGAAAGUGGGGGACCUUCGGGCCUCACGCGAUGAGAUGAGCCGAUGCCGGAUUAGCUAGUUGGCGGGGUAAAGGCCCACCAAGGCGACGAUCCGUAGCUGGUCUGAGAGGAUGAUCAGCCACACUGGAACUGAGACACGGUCCAGACUCCUACGGGAGGCAGCAGUGGGGAAUAUUGGACAAUGGGGGCAACCCUGAUCCAGCCAUGCCGCGUGUGUGAA
rnacentral:rRNA from 1 species